UGGAGCAUGUGGUUUAAUUCGAAGCAACGCGAAGAACCUUACCAGGUCUUGACGUCCGAUGCUAUUUCUAGAGAUAGAAAGUUACUUCGGUACAUCGGUGACAGGUGGUGCAUGGUUGUCGUCAGCUCGUGUCGUGAGAUGUUGGGUUAAGUCCCGCAACGAGCGCAACCCUUGCCAUUAGUUGCUACGAAAGGGCACUCUAAUGGGACUGCCGGUGACAAACCGGAGGAAGGUGGGGAUGACGUCAAGUCCUCAUGGCCUUUAUAUCCAGGGCGACACACACGCUACAAUGGCCGGUACAGAGGGUAGCCAAGCCGUGAGGCGGAGCCAAUCUCACAAAGCCGGUCUCAGUUCGGAUUGAAGGCUGCAACUCGCCUUCAUGAAGCCGGAGUUGCUAGUAACCGCAGGUCAGCCAUACUGCGGUGAAUACGUUCCCGGGCCUU
rnacentral:rRNA from 1 species